rnacentral:rRNA from 1 species
UACGGGGGGGGCAAGCGUUGUUCGGAAUUACUGGGCGUAAAGGGCGCGUAGGCGGCCUGCUAAGUCGAACAUGAAAUCCCUGGGCUCAACCCAGGAACUGCGUCCGAUACUGGUUGGCUUGAAUCCGGGAGAGGGACGUGGAAUUCCAGGUGUAGCGGUGAAAUGCGUAGAUAUCUGGAGGAACACCGGUGGCGAAGGCGACGUCCUGGACCGGCAUUGACGCUGAGGCGCGAAAGCCAGGGGAGCAAACGGG